rnacentral:rRNA from 1 species
UACGAAGGGGGGCUAGCGUUGCUCGGAAUCACUGGGCGUAAAGGGUGCGUAGGCGGGUCUUUUAAGUCAGGGGUGAAAUCCUGGAGCUCAACUCCAGAACUGCCUUUGAUACUGAAGAUCUUGAGUCCGGGAGAGGUGAGUGGAACUGCGAGUGUAGAGGUGAAAUUCGUAGAUAUUCGCAAGAACACCAGUGGCGAAGGCGGCUCACUGGCCCGGUACUGACGCUGAGGUGCGAAAGCGUGGGGGAGCAAACAGG